GUUGAACGUAGGCGCAGCGAACAAGCAGGUGUUCGGAGAGUGAGUGAGCAAAAUCCCGUGUCUCCAUACAUACAUACAUAGAUUUGAAUACACAAUUAUGCGUUAGUAUGCUUGAUCAGGUAUAACAUAGGCGUCAUGUCCAUGGAUGGUUUGAGAGCGUAUGCGUAAUCGCAUGUAAGAGUGUGAACCCGGUAUGGAAUGGAAUGAUUACACGUUGGUGGAGUAGAGGUGGUGAUUUUGACAUAAGUUGAUUAUUAAUUUUGUCCACAGACCACAUAAUAGUCAGUACUUCAACGGUUGACGUACACUUGAGAAGAGUGCGCAUGAUGAGGUAGCGAUCAGUAUAAAAAAGUUUCAUUGAUUGGAUUUACGAGAUUGGAAAAACUCAAUUGAACUCGAUUAGAAAAAUUGGAGAAGGAAACGAACAGGCGCAUUCGAUAGUAUAAAAUAAUUAUUUGACAAAACGUUUUUUAUCUACAUAUGUACAUAUAUGACGCCCAAGAUCAGCUUAUGCCUGACAUGGAGGUUGGAAGAGGGAUUGAACAGCUUGGAUUUCAGAAAUUGUAUGGUUGAAUAUUUCGGAAACGUGAAAACCCCAAGUGGCUAGAAAUGAAUACACUAAUGAUUUGAAAUUUUCGAACCAUACUUACUCUGAGGACAUUUCAAACCGUCGAUUAAAGACUAAAAUAAAGAGAUCCAAUAGUCUCGGCGAACCACAGUGCUCAAUGCGGAAAUGUAAAAUAAUGCAUAUAUACAUAAAUACGUAUUUACAUAUGUAGGCUAUAUGUGGCAUAUCAGCAGAAGUAUCCGGAUGUUGCAAAUAUUAAAUGGCUUCUUACGAGGAACUACUGUUCGAUUGGGUUGGAUUAUUCCGACAGACAGAUUAUGAACAAUGGACACAAGCGGGUAAGUAAUAACUGAAUCUUAAGCAUAUUUAAUUAAAUAAUAUGUGCUCGCUAAUUUUUCGAUGGCGAAUUGUUGUGUCCAGCAAAACUUUAAAUAUUUUAAGGAAACUCGGUCCAUAAAACAAUUUAUUUUAGAUAUAAGAAACUAUGUAAUCAUUAGAACAGAAUUGAGUAAUAAAGUUUUGACCAUAACUAUUUGCACGAGCUCCAUAAUUGAAUGUAAUCUAAGUUCUAAUUAGUUUUGUCAACGGUGGUAUAUUAGUCUGAUAUAUCAUUUUCUUAGAAAAAUGGAUUUUGUCUACUUACUAGCUCAAUAAAAAGAGUCCCUUACAUCAGAAAGAUAUAUAAGAAUAGCUACACAAGGAGAAGAAUUGUCU